rnacentral:lncRNA from 14 species
AUGUACACAAACCUGCUAAAUUGCAUAUCCUGCAUAUCAGGUUAAGGAAUAUCCACACCCAAACAACAGUGACUAAGACUGAAAUAACAUGAGGCAUCUUUAACUUACUCUCCAAACGUGUAGCAAUGAGUGAGGUGCUGCCUGAAGAAACUGGGUGAGACAAUUUCCCAAGUAAUGAAUUAAUAAAUGUUGCAACUCUUGUUAGUGCCA